UGGGGAAUUUUGGACAAUGGGCGAAAGCCUGAUCCAGCAAUGCCGCGUGUGUGAAGAAGGCCUUCGGGUUGUAAAGCACUUUUGUCCGGAAAGAAAUCCUUGGCUCUAAUACAGUCGGGGGAUGACGGUACCGGAAGAAUAAGCACCGGCUAACUACGUGCCAGCAGCCGCGGUAAUACGUAGGGUGCAAGCGUUAAUCGGAAUUACUGGGCGUAAAGCGUGCGCAGGCGGUUUGCUAAGACCGAUGUGAAAUCCCCGGGCUCAACCUGGGAACUGCAUUGGUGACUGGCAGGCUAGAGUAUGGCAGAGGGGGGUAGAAUUCCACGUGUAGCAGUGAAAUGCGUAGAGAUGUGGAGGAAUACCGAUGGCGAAGGCAGCCCCCUGGGCCAAUACUGACGCUCAUGCACGAAAAGCGUGGGGAGCAAACAGGAUUAGAUACCCUGGUAGUCCACGCCCUAAAACGAUGUCAACUAGUUGUUGGGGAUUCAUUUCCUUAGUAACGUAGCUAACGCGUGAAGUUG
rnacentral:rRNA from 1 species